UGCAAGUCGAACGAUGAACCACCUUCGGGUGGGGAUUAGUGGCGAACGGGUGAGUAACACGUGGGCAAUCUGCCCUGCACUCUGGGACAAGCCCUGGAAACGGGGUCUAAUACCGGAUACUGACCUGCCAAGGCAUCUUGGCGGGUCGAAAGCUCCGGCGGUGCAGGAUGAGCCCGCGGCCUAUCAGCUUGUUGGUGAGGUAAUGGCUCACCAAGGCGACGACGGGUAGCCGGCCUGAGAGGGCGACCGGCCACACUGGGACUGAGACACGGCCCAGACUCCUACGGGAGGCAGCAGUGGGGAAUAUUGCACAAUGGGCGCAAGCCUGAUGCAGCGACGCCGCGUGAGGGAUGACGGCCUUCGGGUUGUAAACCUCUUUCAGCAGGGAAGAAGCGAAAGUGACGGUACCUGCAGAAGAAGCGCCGGCUAACUACGUGCCAGCAGCCGCGGUAAUACGUAGGGCGCAAGCGUUGUCCGGAAUUAUUGGGCGUAAAGAGCUCGUAGGCGGCUUGUCGCGUCGGUUGUGAAAGCCCGGGGCUUAACCCCGGGUCUGCAGUCGAUACGGGCAGGCUAGAGUUCGGUAGGGGAGAUCGGAAUUCCUGGUGUAGCGGUGAAAUGCGCAGAUAUCAGGAGGAACACCGGUGGCGAAGGCGGAUCUCUGGGCCGAUACUGACGCUGAGGAGCGAAAGCGUGGGGAGCGAACAGGAUUAGAUACCCUGGUAGUCCACGCCGUAAACGGUGGGCACUAGGUGUGGGCAACAUUCCACGUUGUCCGUGCCGCAGCUAACGCAUUAAGUGCC
rnacentral:rRNA from 1 species